rnacentral:misc_RNA from 1 species
CUUUUGAGUAUGGUGAAUAUAAUUGUCUUAUCAGGCGUCCUCACAAGUUACUUGCAUUCAGGGUUUGAUGUUGGCAUAGGUUUGGGUUUAUGUUGGCGAUUUUUGUUCUGGGGGCCUUAGCUCAGCUGGUAGAGCACCUGCUUUGCAAGCAGGGGGUCGUCGGUUCGAUCCCGACAGGCUCCACCAUGAAAGUAUUUAUGGGUCUGUAGCUCAGGUGGUUAGAGCGCACCCCUGAUAAGGGUGAGGUCGGUGGUUCGAGUCCUCCCAGACCCACCAAUGUUAUAUCAAUUAUUCUGAAUGUGGUUUGCGCAUUUUUUAUGCUUAUCAGCCUUGGAGCUGUGAAGCGUUCUUUUAUAAUUUGAUGAUGUAGCAAGCGUUUGAACUUUUUGUUAAUAAUUUCUCAUUGGAAGCCUUAAGUGACAAUGUUUAUCCAUUGUCUUGUAGAUUUUGAGGCGAC